rnacentral:sRNA from 1 species
GUCAAGAUGGCCGAAUACGAACAGCUCAGGUCUACAGCUCCCAGCGUGAGCGACGCAGAAGACGGGUGAUUUCUGCAUUUCCAUCUGAGCUGCUGCAGAUGCUGUCUGAGGAAGCUCUGCCCCUCAGCUGCUCUGAUCCUGUGCUUAGCACUCUUAGCCUGGUGCAGGGCCUGCUGUCUGCUCACUCUCACCAUGUCCUGCCCAGGGCCUGACCCUCCUGAGGGGCCCGGGACCCAGCGUGUGUGGCAAGGGGCUCUACGGAUCCUACAGCUCCCAGGAGCCCCAGAUGGGGUUUCACCAUAUUAGCCAGGCUGGUCUCGAACUCCUGACCUCAAGUGAUUCGCCAGCCUCGUCCUCCCAAAGUGCUGGGAUUACAGGUGUGAGCCACCAUGCCCAUGGAGAAUGUAUUACUUUUGUAAUUUAAAAAAUAAUAGUAAUAAAAUAAAGAUCUGUA